UCAUUUGGUGAAGUUAAUUUUUGAUUAUUUGCAGAUCAACUUUGACAACUUCAAAGCAAUAAUAACGUUUGUGAUGUUACGUUGUAUGUUGUCUUGUCCCCCUCUGCUGGUUGUAAUGUGUAACUGUUUGUAACCUGUUGACCUUUUUCCCUAGGGUGUGUAUGGUUGGGGGUGAUUGAGGAAGGUGCAAAUAAGAAGGCAGGAACUGCCCGGCUCUCGUAUCUCUCUCUCCUUGGCUCCUGAGAGUCAUGACAGAAUGUCUAUUCUUUAUCAAUGUUGUCUGAGUAACCUGGUAGAGUGUUUAUCCCGUUAUUGUGGCUUUUGUUCAUUGUGUUAAGGGAUCCUGUGGCUUUGGUGGUAGACGUAUAUCAAUGCAGAAACCAGCAAAGUGUACUUGGUAGAUCCAUCACAGAACUCUGCAGAGCAGGCUGACUGAGACCUGGCAGCAAAAAGAUUUCAUGAGUUCUUUAAAAUGAGGAGGACCUGUCACAACAAGAGCGACUGGGUGGAUGUGAAAUUCAGAGGAGGAGUUAUGCAACAGCCAGUUCAGCAGGACGGAAACAGUUGUGGGGUUAUAGUUAUCAUGAUGGCAAAGGCAGUAAUGGAGGCAUUUCCAGAACUCCCCAACAAAAGAGAUGGCACUUGAACACAGAGCCAUGGCUGAAACAAUGCUUGAAGCAUCGGUGUUUGACACAGAAAGCAACUGUGCCAAACCACCCACUCCAGGACCUUCCAUCACAGACUGGAUUCAGUGUGACAGCUGUUCAAGAUGGUUCCACGCAGAGUGCCAUCAGAUGGACAGCGCAAAAUUUCAAGACGUAAACACUGCGGAGUGGGAUUGCAAUUUGUGCAAAGAAAAGAAUCCAUACAGGAGAGACAAUUAGCAUAACCACUUACAUAAAUGGCCCAUUUG